CAAUUCCUUGGUUGUAAUCGCACGCGCAGGGAACUCCAUUUUCGCCUUGCCGAUCAGAGGAGUUGCUGUAAAGGCUUUUUACGCGCAGCUGUAUUUCGGAAAGUUGUAGUUUCAACGAUUUCAUUGAAGAUAUCAUGGCAAAUACAUCAUGUAAAGCGUAGUCAAACUCUAAAGUGAAAGUGAGACAGAUUUUUUUGUUUGAGGAAUCUUGGAGUGUUAUGAUUCAAACGAACUGAGGAGCUGUUUCUGCAAGGACAGGACGUACUUCUGGAUGGGCCGUAGGCGAGGUCAAGGAUAGGAGGGUUCGGUACACGAAUCGGGUUCUCGGUAGGUCCAGGUCCAAACGCCAACAGUGAUAGCGACUCCGACUGAGAGGCCCCAUUGCCAAGCUGCCCGCUCUACCUGUGCCCCCAGUGGUGUUCCUAUGCCACAGUUCAUUACUGCAGGCAUGACUGUGCCUCAGGGCCAAAAGGGCACAGCAUGGAGGCGUCGUUGUGUUCUGUGUCGCAUGAAAUGCACCACUUGUUCAGUUUGCCUCUGCUUUACAUCAGAAAGAGACUGCUAUGGGACAUGGCACAAGUUGCAAAAUAUUAUGACGAGGACUUCCAAGGGUUCUACCCGCUUUGACUCCGGUUCCUGUCUCCUGUCCCACGUCUCGUCAUCCUGCUGCUCUUACCUGGAUUCCCAGCUCCACUACUCCCUUGGAUUCCUCCCCGGACCUGCUUACCCUCUCAACCCCCCUAGAUCCAGCCUCAGCCUCCGUACCUGGUCUCCAGCAACCCGCCCAAGCUUCCCCUGACCUGCACUCCAUCUUCCCCCUGUGUUCCAAUAAAUACCAUGGUUACUUCAUCUCCUCGUCUGAGUCUGCUCUUGGGUUCAACCGUUCCAUUCCGCUCCAGCCUAACACCCAUUAUCAGCAUCCAUCACUCCUGUGUUCCAACGGCACGUUGUGUUAGCUAAUCCAAGUUCAUAAUUUUAAAAGUCGAAUUGAUCAUUAGAACACCCUUUUGCAAUUAUGUUAGCACAGCUGAAAACUGUUCUGAUUUAAAUAAGCAAUAAAAAUGGCAUUAUUUAGACUAGUUGAGUAUCUGGAGCAUCAGCAUUUGUGGGUUCAAUUACAGUCUCAAAAUGGCCAGAAACAAAACUUUCUUCUGAAACUCGUUAGUUUAUUCUUGUUCUGAGAAAUUAAGGCUAUUCCAUGUGAGAAAUUGCCAAGAAACUGAAGAUCUUGUACAGCGCUGUGUACUACUCCCAUCACAGAACAGCACAAACAGGCUCUAACCAGGAUAGAAAGGAGUGGGAGGUCCCGGUGCACAACUGAGCAAAAGGAAAAGUACAUUAGAGUGUCUAGUUUGAGAAACAGAUGCCUCACAAGUCCUCAACUGGCAGCUUCAUUAAAUAGUACCCGCAAAACACCAGUCUCAACUUCAACAGUAAAGAGAUGACAACGGGAUGCUGGCGUUCUAGGCAGAGUUGCAAAGAAAAAGCCAUAUCUCAGACUGGCCAAUAAAAGGAAAAGAUUAAGAUGAGCAGAAGAACACAGACAAUGGACAAAGGAAGACAGAAAAAAAGCAUUAUGGUCAGCCAAAUCUAAGUUUGAGGUGUUUGCAUCACAAAGAAGAACGUUCGUGAGACUUAGAAAAGAUGCUGGAGUAGUGCUUGACACCAUCUAUCAAGCAUGGUGGAUGCAAGGUGAUGGUCUGGGGGUGCUUUGGUGGUGGUAAAGUGGGAGAUUAGUACAGGGUAAAGGGGAUCUUGAAGAAUGAAGGCUAUCACUCUAUUUUGCAACGCCAUGCCAUACCCUGUGGACGGAGCCAAUUUCCUCCUACAACAGGACAAUGACCCAAAGCACAGCUCCAAACUAUGCAAGAACUAUUUAGGGAAGAAGCAGUCAGCUGGUAUUCUGUCUAUAAUGGAGUGGCCAGGCACAGUCACCGGAUCUCAACCCUAUUGAGCUGUUGUGGGAGCAACUUGACCGUAUGGUACGUAAGAAGUGCCCAUCAAGCCUAUCCAACUUGUGGGAGGUGCUUCAGAAAGCAUGGUGUGAAAUCUCUUCAGAUUACCCCAACAAAUUGAUCACUAGAAUGUCAAAGGUCGGCAAGGCUGUAAUUGCUGAAAAUGGAGGAUUCUUUGAUGAAAGCAAAGUUUGAAGGACACUAUUAUUUCAAUAAAAAAUCAUUAUUUAUAACCUUGUCAACGGCUUGACUAUAUUUCCUAUUCAUUUUGCAACUAAUUUCAUGUAUAUUUUCAUGGAAAACAAGGACAUUUCUAAGUGAACCCAAAUUUUUGAACGGUAGUGUACACGGAGGGUGACUGUCAAUAAUAUGAAUGUCAAUCUCUCCUGGUUCAAAGUUGAAGAGAAAUUGACUACAUAACUAUUGGUCUUUGUGCGAGGUGUUGAUGUGUUGAAGAUACUGAACUGUCUGUUCAAGCAGUUGGCACACAGUUCAGACACUCAUCGGCACAACACAAGACAAGAAACCAGAGGUCUCUUCACAGUCCCCAGGUCCAGAACAGAGGUUGAGAAACACACAGUUCAGAUACUCAUCGGUACAACACAAGACAUGCAACCAGAGGUCUCUUCACAGUCCCCAGGUCCAGAACAGAGGUUGAGAAACACACAGUUCAGAUACUCAUCGGUACAACACAAGACAUGCAACCAGAGGUCUAUUCACAGUCCCCAGGUCCAGAACAGAGGUUGAGAAACACACAGUUCAGAUACUCAUCGGUAAAACACAAGACAUGCAACCAGAGGUCUCUUCACAGUCCCCAGGUCCAGAACAGAGGCCGGGAACGCACAGUACUAAAUAGAGCCAUGACUAGAUGGAACUCUCUGCUACCCCAGGUAACUCAAGUAGCAACUAAACCAGAUAAAAACAGACAAAAUAACACCUUACAAGGACUGUGAAGAGACACAGGCAUUUGUAUAUAUUUUGUAUUCUAUUUCGCAUUGUAUUAUAUAAUAUAGUGAUAUGUGAUGGGAGUGUUUGCUAAAUGACUAAAGUGUAAAGUAAUAUAUAAUGUAGUGAUAUGUGAUGGGAGUGUUUGCUAAAUGACUAAAGUGUAAAGUAAUAUAUAAUGUAGUGAUAUGUGAUGGGAGUGUUUGCUAAAUGACUAAAGUGUAAAGUAAUAUAUAAUGUAGUGAUAUGUGAUGGGAGUGUUUGCUAAAUGACUAAAGUGUAAAGUAAUAUAUAAUGUAGUGAUAUGUGAUGGGAGUGUUUGCUAAAUGACUAAAGUGUAAAGUAAUAUAUAAUGUAGUGAUAUGUGAUGGGAGUGUUUGCUAAAUGACUAAAGUGUAAAGUAAUAUAUAAUGUAGUGAUAUGUGAUGGGAGUGUUUGCUAAAUGACUAAAGUGUAAAGUAAUAUAUAAUGUAGUGAUAUGUGAUGGGAGUGUUUGCUAAAUGACUAAAGUGUAAAGUAAUAUAUAACGUA